rnacentral:tRNA from 1 species
AGCCGCAGUGGCCGAGCGGAGAGGCUUAGAACCGCAAAACCUGCUACAGCGGUUCGAAUCCGCUCGCGGCUA